CACGAGCAGGAUAGAAGUGGUGGAAUAGUUUGAUAACGUUUUACCUACACGUCAAAAGAAUACCAGAAGUCAAGAUUAAAAUGCGACCCAGAAUUCAAGUUGAACUUGUUGCACGGCAUAAGAAAUAUUUGGAAGAACAGAUACAAGUUCUGAAACCUGUCUUGGAAAUUAUAAAAAACGCUAUAGAAAAAAGUCAAACUUGGAUAGAAGAUGAAAUUCAUAACCCGCCUCUCACGUACG